UACGAAGGGGGCUAGCGUUGCUCGGAAUUACUGGGCGUAAAGCGCACGUAGGCGGAUUGUUAAGUCGGGGGUGAAAUCCUGGAGCUCAACUCCAGAACUGCCUUUGAUACUGAAGAUCUUGAGUUCCGGGAGAGGUGAGUGGAACUGCGAGUGUAGAGGUGAAAUUCGUAGAUAUUCGCAAGAACACCAGUGGCGAAGGCGGCUCACUGGCCCGAUACGUACGCUGAGGCACGAAAGCGUGGGGAGCAAACAGG
rnacentral:rRNA from 1 species